UAGAUCUAAACUACAUUCAUCUACACAAAAGGCCCGAAACCGAUUGGAAGCCCACCGAUAAUUGUUCAACCGCCCACAGUCAAACAAAACCUCAUCCCACAGCCAAACAAAUAACCACUCGGAGGAGAGCGACGCCGCAUCAAACAAUAUCUGCGGUGCAACCAAGGUUCUGAAUACCGUUUUGGACAUGGUACCGAAUUUGUCACUAAAACGAUAGGAGGCCACCUGGAGUCGCGGGGCGUGGAAGAGGAAGAGGCCGCGAGGAUGGCACCAGUGGGCGUCCCUUGAAAAGGCAUUGGUCGCGGCCUAGAUGACAGAGGUGCAGAUGGAGGUCGAGGUAGGGCUGGACCUGGUGGGAGGACUGGUGGAAACAGAGGUAGUGGGCGUGGGAGAUGAUGAUAUAAAGCUGAGGUGCCGAACAACUCAAGGGGGGCUUUGCUAGUUUUGAAUGGCAUUUUAUAUCCCC